rnacentral:rRNA from 1 species
AUACGGAAGGUCCGGGCGUUAUCCGGAUUUAUUGGGUUUAAAGGGAGCGCAGGCGGAGAUGCAAGCGUGACGUCAAAUUUCGGGGCUCAACCCCGUCUCGCGUCGCGAACUGCGUCCCUUGGUUGCGGGAAGGGGAGGCGGAACUCGUGGUGUAGCGGGGAAAUGCAUAGAUAUCACGAAGAACUCCGAUCGCGAAGGCAGCCUUCCGGCCCGUCAACGACGCUCAUGCUCGAAGGUGCGGGUAUCAAACAGGAUUAGAUACCCUGGUAGUCCGCACAGUAAACGAUGGACACCCGCGGUUUGGCCUGUAUGGCUGAGCCGCCAAGCGAAAGCGUUAAGUGUCCCACCUGGGGAGUACGCCGGCAACGGUAAAACUCAAAUGAAUUGACGGGG